GCGGGGUUGCCGGAGUGGUCAAUCGGGCAGGACUUAAGAUCCUGUGGCUUAGUGCCUGCGAAGGUCCGAAUCCUUCAUCCCGCA
rnacentral:tRNA from 1 species